rnacentral:rRNA from 1 species
UAGUACGGCGAGUGAAGCGGGAAGAGCUCAAGCUUAAAAUCUCCGUGCAAGUUUUGUGCGGCGAAUUGUAGUCUAUAGAGGCGUGGUCAGCGUGGGCGCUUGGGGCAAGUUCCUUGGAAGAGGACAGCAUGGAGGGUGAUACUCCCGUUCAUCCCUGAGUUGCUCGUGCGUACGGCCCGUUUUCUUUGAGUCGCGUUGUUUGGGAAUGCAGCGCAAAGUAGGUGGUAAAUUCCAUCUAAAGCUAAAUAUUGGUGCGAGACCGAUAGCGAACAAGUACCGUGAGGGAAAGAUGAAAAGAACUUUGAAAAGAGAGUUAAAGAGUACCUGAAACUGCUGAAAGGGAACCGAAUCGUUUCCAGUGUCUAUAAUCCGUGGUAUAUUUCAUUGGCGAGUGUGUGCGUGCGUGUGCUGUGGCAGCGGCUUUUUAGGCUGCGCUCGGCGUGUGUGCUGUGUGUGCUUGCUGGUGCCCUGUACUGCGGUGGGACGUCAAGGUCAGUUCGUAUGCUGCGGGAAAUGGCUGCCGAGGAGGUAGGGCUUACGCUUGCGUUUGUCUGUUAUAUCUUGGUGGACGAGUAGUCGCGGUUGGGACUGAGGUGCCUACAACGUGCUUUUGAGUGGGUUUGUGUCUCCGUGUGCGCCGUGUGCGGAUAGCUUGCUAUGCGUGUGUGGUUGUGUGUGGAUUGAUGCGGGCUUUAACUUGUUGCCGUUC